GGACCCGCACAAGCGGUGGAGCAUGUGGUUUAAUUCGAUGCAACGCGAAAAACCUUACCUACUCUUGACAUACUUGGAAGCUCUUGUAAUGAGAGUGUGCCUUUUGGAACCAAGAUACAGGUGCUGCAUGGCUGUCGUCAGCUCGUGUCGUGAGAUGUUCCGUUAAGUCGGAUAACGAGCGCAACCCUUACCCUUAUUUGCCAGCGAUUCGGUCGGGAACUAUAAGGGGACUGCCGGUGAUAAACCGGAGGAAGGUGAGGACGACGUCAAGUCAUCAUGGCCCUUACGAGUAGGGCUACACACGUGCUACAAUGGGGAAUACAGACGGACGCUAAGCCGCGAGGUGGUGCUAAUCUCAUAAACCUUCUCGUAGUCCGGAUUGGAGUCUGCAACUCGACUCCAUGAAGUCGGAAUC
rnacentral:rRNA from 1 species